CGUCUUAUCCCCAAACCAGGAAGAACGCGAGCUUGGGUUUGUACCAUUACCAGAUCGAAUUAGAGAUGGACUCAAAGUCCGAAAUCAACUUGGAGAGGCCAACACAUGCAUGGGUCUCCAACGGAAAGUCUCUGAGUACCCGAAGCUUGAAACUUGGCCAGUUGCUUUUCUCUGUGAAGAACCAGCAUUUUACAGCAAUUUUGGAAAGAGUGGAGCUCUGUGCAUCGCGGAGCCAUCCAAUUCGAAGAUUGACACAUUGUGGGUUCAAGCAGGACAGGUGAUUGUAGUCACAAUAGCUUCAAAGUCUCGAAGCUUUAUUUUGAGGGUGA